rnacentral:rRNA from 1 species
GGCCGCGGGAAUUCCUUUCAGGCCUAACACAUGCAAGUCGAACGCUGAAGCCGACCUUUUGCUGUUGGUGGAUGAGUGGCGAACGGGUGAGUAACACGUGAGUAACCUGCCCCUGAUUUCGGGAUAAGCCUGGGAAACUGGGUCUAAUACCGGAUACGACCACCUGACGCAUGUCGGGUGGUGGAAAGUUUUUCGAUCGGGGAUGGGCUCGCGGCCUAUCAGCUUGUUGGUGGGGUAAUGGCCUACCAAGGCGACGACGGGUAGCCGGCCUGAGAGGGCGACCGGCCACACUGGGACUGAGACACGGCCCAGACUCCUACGGGAGGCAGCAGUGGGGAAUAUUGCACUAUGGGGGAAACCCUGAUGCAGCGACGCAGCGUGCGGGAUGACGGCCUUCGGGUUGUAAACCGCUUUCAGCAGGGAAGAAGCGAAAGUGACGGUACCUGCAGAAGAAGUACCGGCUAACUACGUGCCAGCAGCCGCGGUAAUACGUAGGGUACGAGCGUUGUCCGGAAUUAUUGGGCGUAAAGAGCUCGUAGGUGGUUGGUCACGUCUGCUGUGGAAACGCAACGCUUAACGUUGCGCGUGCAGUGGGUACGGGCUGACUAGAGUGCAGUAGGGGAGUCUGGAAUUCCUGGUGUAGCGGUGAAAUGCGCAGAUAUCAGGAGGAACACCGGUGGCGAAGGCGGGACUCUGGGCUGUAACUGACACUGAGGAGCGAAAGCAUGGGGAGCGAACAGGAUUAGAUA